UGGGGUGAGCGGACGAUCGCUGGGCAAAAACCAGAGGAAAGUCCGGGCUUCAAAAAAUAGGGCAGUGGGUAACGCCCACCAGGCGCAAGCUUAGGGAAAGUGCCACAGAGACAAUACUAUCCUUGAAAAAUGAAAAGGACAAAGGUGAAAAGUUGGUCGAUGUUGUUGGCGACAACAGCUACGGUCAUCGCCCCCUGGUGACAGGGUGUGCGCGGCAAACCCUGCCUGAAGCAAGAGCAAACUCCGCCAAAAUAGUGGAGAGAAAGUAGCUCGCUUGAUCCGCUUGGCAACAAGCGGACUAGAUAGAUGGUCGUCGUUGGCUGAUAAAUCAGUCGAUACAGAACCCGGCUUACAGCUCGCCCCAAGCU
rnacentral:RNase_P_RNA from 2 species